rnacentral:rRNA from 1 species
GUGCUUUAGCCAGGUACCGUCAUCACCACGAAUGGCUUAUUCGUCCCUGAUUAGUGAAUUUUACAAUCCGAAGACCUUCAUCAUUCACGCGGCGUCGCUGCGUCAGGCUUUCGCCCAUUGCGCAAGAUUCUUA